AACGAACGCUGGCGGCAUGCCUAACACAUGCAAGUCGAACGAUUGCCUUCGGGUGAUAGUGGCGCACGGGUGCGUAACGCGUGGGAAUCUGCCCUUAGGUUCGGAAUAACAGCUGGAAACGGCUGCUAAUACCGGAGGAUAUCGCGAGAUCAAAGAUUUAUCGCCUUAGGAUGAGCCCGCGUUGGAUUAGGGAGUGGGUGGGGUAAAGGCCUACCAAGCCGACGAUGCAUAGCUGGUCUGAGAGGAUGAUCAGCCACACUGGGACUGAGACACGGCCCAGACUCCUACGGGAGGCAGCAGUGGGGAAUAUUGGACAAUGGGCGCAAGCCUGAUACAGCAAUGCCGGGUGAGUGAUGAAGGCCCUAGGGUUGUAAAGCUCUUUUACCCGGGAAGAUAAUGACUGUACCGGGAGAAUAAGCCCCGGCUAACUACGUG
rnacentral:rRNA from 1 species